rnacentral:rRNA from 1 species
GUCUACGGUCAUACCACCCUGAACGCGCCCGAUCUCAUCUGAUCUCGGAAGCUAAGCAGGGUCGGGCCUGGUUAGUACUUGGAUGGGAGACCGCCUGGGAAUACUGGGUACUGUAAUCU